UUUUCUUUGUGGUAUUUACAGCUUCCAAUGAUCUCCCGGUCUUAGUCUGUGCAGGUAAAAAAAAAAAACAAAGAGGAAGAACAACAGAUGGUUUCAGAGAAAACUUGUCAGCAAGCAUGAAGGAGAGCAGCAAGCGCUGCACACAGAGCUUCUCCCUGCUCUUGUCAGUCUCAGGAGUUGAUGGAUGCAACAAAAGGAGGCGGGGAGGUGGCAGACCAGAGGCACAAGCCUCAGGUGCGAACAGGUCACUGAGUCUUUCACUCCAUGUCCCUGCACUGCUGGAUAUUACUCCUUCUAUUACCUUUCAAAACCCCAAUCAUCACACAUUCUGUGGCAAUACGAAACUGCGAGACGCUGUCAAAAAUGGAAGCUAUAUAAAGAAUGUCAAUUUCCUCCAAUUGGCUCAGAAGAUAGUGGCUUUUAUUUUAUUUUUUGGUUAAUUUCUAAUUUAAGAUCAAAAGAGCUAAAAGUGUGUCAAAGACAUUUGUUGAGGUGUGCACAGAAAAAAAAAUGCACAGAAUUAUUCAUAUUUUAACCAACCUACUAUCCCACAAUGCCAAUUCAUUUCUUAUUCUCAGUUGCCACUGAUAUUCCUUUUAACAUCAAGUGAGCCGACAAUAAGUCAAAGGAAGCCAAGAGUUUCCAUUAGUCGUCUGUCACUAAUUACCACUGACUCCGGGGUUGAUUAAAAGAAAUCACCAAGCAGCAGCACACACCAUUAUGCUAAUGAAAACUCAUUUGGCGAGGCAAAGAGGGGGCGCAGCCAAGUAUUUGGAUGACUUUACAGUGCAGCCAGGCUGGCUGGAGUAAAUGGCUUCUUGGACAGCAUGUCAUUACAAUACUAUGUAUAAAAGAAACCAUGUGAUAAUGACAACGACGACGAGGAUGAUGAUGUGGAUGAUGACAGAAUUUUAAUCGAGUGUAUCUUUCCAACUCUCAUGGGCUUAUUAAAUAGUGACUUUU